CCUACGGGUGGCAGCAGUGGGGGAUAUUGCACAAUGGGGGAAACCCUGAUGCAGCGACGCCGCGUGGGCGAAGAAGUAUUUCGGUAUGUAAAGCCCUAUCAGCAGGGAAGAAGAAAUGACGGUACCUUCGGAAGAAGCACCGGCUAAAUACGUGCCAGCAGCCGCGGUAAUACGUAUGGUGCAAGCGUGAUCCGGAGUUACUGGGUGUAAAGGGAGCGCAGGCGGCACGGCAAGCCUGAUGUGAAAGCCCGGGGCCCAACCGCGGGACUGCAUUGGGAACUACCGGGCUGGAGUGCCGGAGAGGUAGGCGGAAUUCCUAGUGUAGCGGUGAAAUGCGUAGAUAUUAGGAGGAACACCAGUGGCGAAGGCGGCCUACUGGACGGUGACUGACGCUGAGGCUCGAAAGCGUGGGGAGCAAACAGGAUUAGAUACCCGAGUAGUC
rnacentral:rRNA from 1 species